rnacentral:rRNA from 1 species
GAUCAUGGCUCAGGAUAAACGCUGGCGGCGCACAUAAGACAUGCAAGUCGAACGAACUUAACCAUUAGUUUACUAUUGGAGCGGUUAGUGGCGGACUGGUGAGUAACACGUAAGCAACCUGCCUAUCAGAGGGGAACAACAGUUAGAAAUGACUGCUAAUACCGCAUAUGCCUUAGAACCACAUGGUUCAAAAGGGAAAGGAGCAAUCCGCUGAUAGAUGGGCUUGCGU